rnacentral:snRNA from 1 species
GUGCUCACUUCGACAGCAAAUAUACUAAAAUUGGAAUGAUACAGAGAAGAUGAGCAUGGUCCCUGCACAGGGAUGACAUGCAAAUUUGUGAAGCGUUCUAUAUUUUU